UACGGGGGGGGCAAGCGUUGUUCGGAAUUACUGGGCGUAAAGGGCUCGUAGGUGGCCAACUAAGUCGGACGUGAAAUCCCUCGGCUUAACCGGGGAACUGCGUCCGAUACUGGUUGGCUUGAGUUUGGGAGAGGGAUGCGGAAUUCCAGGUGUAGCGGUGAAAUGCGUAGAUAUCUGGAGGAACACCGGUGGCGAAGGGGGGUCUCUGGGCCGAUACUGACGCUGAGGAGCGAAAGCGUGGGGAGCGAACAGG
rnacentral:rRNA from 1 species